rnacentral:lncRNA from 1 species
AAAGCAUACACGUGGCGGUGGGGCUCAGCGGCUUUUGGUGGGUAACACUUAAUGAAUUAAUUCUCUAUCUCUAGAAAACAAUCUACGUGGGAUCAAUGAUACUGAACAUGAGGGAAUUUUGACCCUUGGAACCAGAAGAACCAUUAGACUAGGUGACGUGGGGACAACUCAGUGGUGAUGACCACUCUGGAAUCAUUAAGAGAUCAGUUCUAUUCAUAGCUACCACUGGAGGGGAUUCUGUUAUGGACACAUAAUAACAACAACACAAAAAGGAACCAAUUAUUGCUGCUGAGAUCAAGAAAAAGAAAUGACAUAUGUAAACUCCCAAAAGAUGGAUAUUAUGAAUACCUGUUGGGGAGGUUGGUGAGCUGGGCAUGCAGCUGGGUUAAGAGUUCUUCCGUCUAUUGAUCUCAGCACAAUAAAGGUAAGUGGUGCCCCUGGAAAUUGGAUUUU